ACCUUUCCCUAAUUCACACAUCCAUCCUCCCUCCUUCUCCCCCAACCCUGCCUCCUCCUCAAGCCCAUGCAUUAUUACAUAGAACACAAUUAGGCAGGGCUAUCAGAUUAAAGCAUUGUCAAUGAUGCUCUCAUUAAAAACAACAGCACAGUCAAACAGAGAGCAUGCUUGCAUAUGAAAUGUGAUUAAUUCUUUCAGACAUGACUCGUGAUGACUGGGGCCACACCACCAGGGCAGCAACUCUGCUCUGCACUGAGCCUAGCUGUGUGCCUGACCACCUCCCAAAGUGCUUCACGCUCUCAUUUCACCCCCAGAGGCAGACAAGAGGACUGCAAAGGACUCAUGUGGCUGGAAAUCAAAUCCAAAUCUCCUGACCUCUAAUUUCAGAGGGUGCCCUGCCUUCCCAAGGCCCAAUUUUACAGUUAAAUGGCUUAACAAGGGCUUUACUGGAUUGAAAGAAACAUUAAAAGACAUUAGAUUCCAUUGGCACAGUCUUUGGCCCCUUGUCUCUAAUGAGAAUUUGCCCAGUUAAAAUUUUAACAUUGGGUCUAACCUGAGAGAACUUGACUUUCAGCCUGAAACUUUGAAAAGGCUUGAUUAACUUAGGAGUUCCUGCUACAAAGUAAGAGUCAAGAACCCUCUUCAGCAAAG